GCGAAAGCUACGCUAAUACCGCAUACGAUCUAUGGAUGAAANCGGGGGAUCGCAAGACCUCGCGCGAUUGGAGCGGCCGAUAUCAGAUUAGGUAGUUGGUGAGGUAAAGGCUCACCAAGCCGACGAUCUGUAGCUGGUCUGAGAGGACGACCAGCCACACUGGGACUGAGACACGGCCCAGACUCCUACGGGAGGCAGCAGUGGGGAAUUUUGGACAAUGGGCGCAAGCCUGAUCCAGCAAUGCCGCGUGCAGGAUGAAGGCCUUCGGGUUGUAAACUGCUUUGUACGGAACGAAACGGUGAGCUCUAAUACAGUUUGCUAAUGACGGUACCGUAAGAAUAAGCACCGGCUAACUACGUG
rnacentral:rRNA from 1 species